AACUGCCUGAUGGAGGGGGAUAACUACUGGAAACGGUAGCUAAUACCGCAUAAUGUCGCAAGACCAAAGUGGGGGACCUUCGGGCCUCAUGCCAUCAGAUGUGCCCAGAUGGGAUUAGCUAGUAGGUGGGGUAACGGCUCACCUAGGCGACGAUCCCUAGCUGGUCUGAGAGGAUGACCAGCCACACUGGAACUGAGACACGGUCCAGACUCCUACGGGAGGCAGCAGUGGGGAAUAUUGCACAAUGGGCGCAAGCCUGAUGCAGCCAUGCCGCGUGUGUGAAGAAGGCCUUCGGGUUGUAAAGCACUUUCAGCGGGGAGGAAGGCGUUAAGGUUAAUAACCUUGGCGAUUGACGUUACCCGCAGAAGAAGCACCGGCUAACUCCGUGCCAGCAGCCGCGGUAAUACGGAGGGUGCAAGCGUUAAUCGGAAUUACUGGGCGUAAAGCGCACGCAGGCGGUCUGUCAAGUCGGAUGUGAAA
rnacentral:rRNA from 1 species